CUAUCCCUUCCAUAGGGGGUUUCCCAAUCGACCAGAACAACUUUCUGAAAGUCUGUGGGAUUUUCUUCUCUGAAGUGCUUAACACUGACACAGUGGUGUACUAAUCCUGGGGUCACCUGAUUCCUGUGGCCUUGCAGUGUAUUGAGUUACCACUGUAUUCAGUCAAGUUAGCCAAGGCUAACUGUCAUCGUCCCACCCCUUUGGUCCUGCAGAAAUGCCCCUUGACAACACGGACACCCCGAGGAGCCGGUGGGAGCAGGGUUUGCGGCCACCGUGGGUCACUCGAUUGGCCGGAGGGCGAAGCCCCGCGUCUUCUGGGGCGGAGUCGGACACAGAGAGCAGCAGUACAGAGAGUGAGCGGGUGAGUAGGAGUGGCUUUCACAUUAACUGGCCUUAGGGUCGUCGGGGGUGUAUACUGCCAGUGUGGUCAGAGACAGAUGUUUCUGCCCAAGGGGACUUACUAUAUACUUUAACACGCGGCCAUUAGUCACCAACUGAACCAGCUGCUUGACUUACACCUGGCCUGAACAGCCUGUUUUAAAGCUUCUGUGUGCUGACUGCACCUCGGUCUCCAUUUCAUUUCUCAGUCUCACACCAGGCGUUCAGAGGGGGGCUCAGGUAGGAUCCCUCACUCACCCUCCUCACUCCAACAGCGAAUCACAGAGAUCGACCAGCAGAGGGAGGAGCUAAAGAUAGAGGUGAGGAGUUGAGCAACACUGACAGUCUGUAAAUUCAUAUGAAUGUCUGUCCCGUCUUCACAAUCCCUGUGGGUGGGUGACGGCGUUCCUGGCCUGUCUGUGUGUCUGGGUCCAGGUGCAGCUGGAGAUAGCCCUGUUAGAGGCAGAACUGCAGGAACAGAGGAGCCAGCUGCAGGAAAACACACUGCAGCUCCAGAAACUACAGGAGGGACCAGGCAGUACCAGUGAGACUCACAGACCGACACACAGACAGGAGGAGCGAGCCAAUCUGGAGAGGGAGAGGGCCCGGGUGGAAGAUUUGAGGAAGCAGUUGAAGGAGAAGGAGACACUGAUCCCAAGUCAGCCUGAGAACCAGAAAGAGCAGCUACUAAUGGACCUGCAACAGGAGAAAGAGAUGGUGGAAGCAGCAGGCCGGGCAUUUGAGGACUGGGAGUUUAGCGUCCUGGAGAGCGAAGCCGGGAUUGAGGAGGAUAGCGAAAGGGAGAAAGAAGAGAGGGAACAAGAGAUCAAAGAGGAGAAAAAGAAAGAGAUCUCAUGCCAACAGCAUGCUGUAAACUCAGCACAGGAGCGAGUCCAGCAGCUUGAGAAACAGCUAAAGGAGAUGGAGAGAGAGAGGGAUCGAGAGAUGAACGCCUUGAGAAAGCAGAGAAGAGAAUUACUUCACACAACACACAAGGUGGGAACAAAAGCUAACUUCUAAAAUCCACAUUCUUUAUAUACAAAUUAUGUAGACAUUCUUUUAUGUUCCUGCUUGCUCAUGUAUGAUGUGGAAUUAAAUGUUCUGAAUUGCUUGGAAGCUAUAUAUAUAAUAUAUAUAAUUCAUUCAAUGUUCAUAAGGGUAAAACAUUUGUUAGCUUGGACAGUGAUGGCAUUGUGUUUGAACCAAUGACACGCCUUUAAUUGGAAUUAUGACAAAGCCAGUUAAAAAGGGGGAGGAGAUUACAGAUAGUGAAAGAGCAGAAUGUAGCAUGGAGAGAGUCGGAGAGGGAGAGAAAGGGAGGGAGGAGUAUAGCAGAACAGGGAGAGAGACAGAAUGACAGAAGAUUAGCCGGGUGAGACCAUAGGAACGCUCCGACAGCCACGGUGAGCUAUAAGAAACCACAUUCAAUCUGCAUGCCUCAAGUGUGUUUGGACAGUUUACCGCCUGUACACAGGUUCAUGUAGAAAUGGAAGAGGGGCUCGGGAAAGGAGGAGGGCAGAAGGGAGUGUCAUGUACAGGGAGAAGGGAGGGACAGACAGGCAGCGUGUGUUCUUGUGUGACCGCGAGAAAACAAUUUGGCUGUUUGUAUGAUACGUCAGGGUAGUCAUAUGGGAAUUACAAGAUGAGGACUGAUUUUGUUACAGAGCUAUUGAUGUCUUUGCUCAUCCAGGCAGGGAGAGAUAUAGACAGAGACAGAGGGACUGAUUGGUGUUGGGGGAAUGAACGCCAUAUCUGAAUUGCUCAUGUGUUUGUGAGUCGGGUGGUGGGGCGGGGGUCAGAGAGGGGUAAUGUUGAACUCGUUAGGGUGGAUACUGGGAGCUGCUGUGAUUUUUCCAUUCUCAGUGAGGUGCAGAAUCCUUGUAGUGACACUCCCACUGUGUAAUGGCAUUAUGUCAAAAUACAUCCAGGUUGACUCAGCAUCUGUGUUGGGACGUCUUAUGACUUGGACACCCAACUAAAUGUCUGUCUGUUUCAGAGAAAACAACAAAAUAGUUGCAGUUUCUGGUCAACUUGUCACCGCUGUCUUCUCUAACUGCUUAUGAAACAACUUCUCUAACUGCUCUAUCUCCUAUCAGGUUUUGGCAGAGAAGAAGCCGCUUGCCGAUUGGUCCAACAUCCCCGUCUCGAGCCCUUGCAUGAUGUCACUGUCACCGCUGACCAUUCAGAAAUCACCUCAGGUGUUUUUGACAGUUGAACAGGACACAGUAGGCUCUGAUUUGAUUGAUGUAUCUCCCAGGAAUGUGCAGAAACACUAACUCGCACUAACUCAGUGUUAUCCCCUAACUGAAGGAACAAAAAGAACCGGUCAGUUUGCCACGGAGACGGAGCUCGCACCGCAACAACAAACACUCCGAUAGGCCAGUCUCGUCACAAGGUGAGCUAUGAUUUGAGUUUGAGUAUGAGGUACUUUGUGCCUUUGAUUUACUUCAUCAAAGAGCAACAUAACAUGAAAGAGUAGGUCUCUCUCUCUUGUUUUCCGUGUUUCUCUUCCUAUCUGCAGGACUAGGUGUGGCUCUGCUAGAUGUUGCUGUGAGCAGGAUAUACCUGUAUGAACUAGACCAAACAGCGGGGCGGCUGCUCCAUUACUAGUCUACCACUUCAGUCUGAAUCUAUAUGACCUUAUGGGCCAUUUGCCACUCUAGGAGCACAAUGGCUUUUUUUUGGCUUAGGAGUUAGGUUUAGGGUAAAACUAUUGGGGUUAGGCUUAGAAUUAGGGUUAGGGUUAAGAUGUAUAGGUAGGGAUUAGACUUAAGGUUAAAGUUAGGUUUUUCACGAUAUAGUUAGAGGAUAGGAAAUCAAGGAAGAUUCUAGGGAAACUACUUGUUUUGACUUAAGGGUUAGGUUUGGGCUAAAACAUGCAAUUAUGGGUUAUGGUAAAUAGAAUUGGAAUGGAAAUUCUUUUUUGUGGCCCCACAAUGAUACAGUAUACAGUGGAUAUAAAAAAGUCUACACACCCCUGUUAAAAUGCCAGGUUUGUGUGAUGUAUAAGAAUGAGACAAAGAUAAAUCAUGUCAGAACAUUUUUCACUUUUAAUGUGACCUCUAAUGUGAACAAUUCAAUUGAAAAACAAACUGAAAUCUUUGUGGGGGAUAAUAACCUGGUUAAAUAAGUGGGCACACCCUCUUAUAACUGGGGAUGUGGCUGUGUUCAGAAUUAACCAAUCACAUUCAACCUCAUGUUAAAUAGAAGUCAUUACACACCAGCCAUCAUUUAAGAGUUCAGCUGUUCUAGAAGGUUUUUCCUGACAUUUUCUUAGUGGCAUCUCAGAGCGAAAGCCAUGGUCCGCAGAGAGCUUCCAAAGCAUCAGAGGGAUCUCAUUGUUGAAAGAUAUCAGUCAGGAGAAGGGUACGAAAGGAUUUCCAAAGCAUUAGAUAUACCAUGGAACGCAGUGAAGACAGUCAUAAUCAAGUGGAGAAAAUAUGGCACAACAGAGACAUUACCAAGAACUGGACGUAAUUGUUCACGUUAUUGGUCACAUUAAAGGUGGAAAAGGUUCUGACAAUUGAUGAAAAGACAAGAAGAACACUGGUCAGGGAGACUUCCAAGCGGCCUACAGCAAAAUUAAAGGAACUGCAGGAAUUUCUGGCAAGUUCUGGCUGUGUGCUACAUGUGACAACAAUCUCCUGUAUUCUUCAUAUGAAUGGGCUAUGGGGUAUUGUGGCAAGAUGGAAGCCAUUUCUUACAAAGAAAGACAUUCAAGCCCGGCUGAAGGUCUGAUGAAACCAAGGUUGAACUUUUUGGCCAUAAUUCCAAAAGGUAUGUUUGGCACAAAAGAACACCAUACCCACUGUGAAGCAUGGUGGUGGCAGCAUCAUGCUUUGGGGCUAUUUUUCUUCAGCUGGAACCAGGGCUUUAGUCAGGGUGGAGGGAAUUAUGAACAGUUCCAAAUACUAGGCAAUUCUGGCACAAAACCUUCAGGCGUCCGUUAGAAAGCUGAAGAUGAAGUUCACCUUUCAACACGACAACGACCCAAAGCACACAUCAUCAAUUGUUUGGUGAUAUGAAGAGGGCUGUGCACAGGAGAUGACCUCGCAAAGAAGAGUGGGCAAAUAUUGCAACGUCAAGAUGUGCUAUGCUAAGAGACUCCUACCAAAAAAGACUGAGUGCUGUAAUAAAAUCAAAAGGUGCUUCAACAAAGUAUUAGUUUAAGGGUGUGCACACUUAUGCAACCAGGUUGUUGUGAGUUUUUUGUUUUAAUUUUUUCCCCCUCAAUGAUUUAAAUUUGUUUUUCAAUUUAAUUGUUCACAUUACAGGUCACAUUAAAGGUGGAAAAAGUUCUGGCAUGAUUUAUCUUUGUCUCAUUCUUUUACAUCACAAGAACCUGGAUUUUUAACAGGGGUGUAGACUUUUUAUAUCCACUCCUAAAGUGUGUGUGUCAUCUAUUCUCUUUCUUCUGCUUAUCUUCUCUCUGAUCUCUCCAUCUCCUUAUCUCUUGUGUGUUGUUUUUUGUGUUCCAUCCUUUCUCUCAUCCUUUCUCACUGUCAAUCUGUCUGUGUCUCUCUUUCUCCCUG
rnacentral:lncRNA from 1 species